rnacentral:rRNA from 1 species
UACGGAAGGGGGCUAGCGUUGCUCGGAAUCACUGGGCGUAAAGGGCGCGUAGGCGGCCGUUUAAGUCGGGGGUGAAAGCCUGUGGCUACAACCGACAGAAUUGCCUUCGAUACUGGACGGCUUGAGUAUGGUAGAGGUUGGUGGAACUGCGAGUGUAGAGGUGAAAUUCGUAGAUAUUCGCAAGAACACCGGUGGCGAAGGCGGCCAAACUG